AUACUCCUGAGAGACCGAUAGUGAACCAGUACCGUGAGGGAAAGGUGAAAAGAACCGUGAAUAACGGAGUGAAAUAGAUCCUGAAACCAUACGCCUACAAGCGGUCGAAGCCCUUAUUGGGGUGACGGCGUGCCUUUUGCAUAAUGAGCCUACGAGUUAACGUUGCUGGCAAGGAUAAAUACUUCAGGUAUGGAUCCGUAGCGAAAGCGAGUCUGAAUAGGGCGCUUUAGUCAGUAGUGUUAGACGCGAAACCGUGUGAUCUACCCAUGGGCAGGUUGAAGCUGUGGUAACACACAGUGGAGGACCGAACCGGUUGUCGUUGAAAAGACUUCGGAUGACUUGUGGGUAGGGGUGAAAGGCCAAUCAAACUCGGAAAUAGCUCGUACUCCCCGAAAUGCAUUUAGGUGCAGCGUUGGUUAUAAGUUAUAUAGAGGUAGAGCUACUGAUUGGAUGCGGGGGCUUCAUCGCCUACCAAUUCCUGACAAACUCCGAAUGCUAUAUAAUGUUUACCAGCAGUGAGGGCUUGGGUGCUAAGGUCCAAGUCCGAGAGGGAAAGAACCCAGACCAUCAGCUAAGGUCCCCAAAUAUAUGUUAAGUUGAAAGAACGAGGUUUGUCUGCAUAGACAGCUAGGAUGUUGGCUUGGAAGCAGCCAUUCAUUUAAAGAGUGCGUAACAGCUCACUAGUCGAGCGGACGAGCAUGGAUAAUAAUCGGGCAUAAACAUAUUACCGAAGCUAUGGAUUGUAGAGACAAAGCAUGCUUUGACUGUACAGUGGUAGGGGAGCAUUCUAACAGGGUAGAAGGUGUAUCGUAAGGUAUGCUGGACUGGUUAGAAAAGAAAAUGUAGGCAUAAGUAACGAUAAGCGGUGCGAGAAACACCGCCACCGAAAAACUAAGGUUUCCACAGCUAUGCUAAUCAGCUGUGGGUUAGUCUGGACCUAAGGCGAACCCGAAAGGGACAGUCGAUGGCCAACGGGUUAAUAUUCCCGUACUACUAUUAAUUGUGAUGGGGUGACACAGUGAUGAAAGCGCCGCGAACUGACGGAAUAGUUCGUUGAAGUACCUACCUAUAAGACCCGCAGGCAAAUCCACGGGUUUUGGGGAAAUACGAUAGUACUCGGAUACUUCGGUAGAAGAGAUAGUGCGCCUAAGGGCUGUCAAGAAAAACCUCUAAACUUCAGAUUAAUAGUACCCGUACCGUAAACCGACACAGGUAGUUGAGGAGAGAAUCCUAAGGUGCUCGAGAGAUUCAUGGCUAAGGAAUUAGGCAAAAUAGACCCGUAACUUCGGGAGAAGGGUCGCCCCGAUGUAAAUCGGGGCCGCAGUGAAGAGGUCCAGGCGACUGUUUAUCAAAAACACAGGGCUCUGCAAAAUCGUAAGAUGAAGUAUAGGGCCUGACACCUGCCCGGUGCUGGAAGGUUAAGUGGAGAUGUUAGUUGUAAGACGAAGCAUUGAAAUGAAGCCCCAGUAAACGGCGGCCGUAACAAUAACGGUCCUAAGGUAGCGAAAUUCCUUGUCGGGUAAGUUCCGACCUGCACGAAUGGCGUAACGACUUCCCCGCUGUCUCCAGCAUAGACUCAGUGAAAUUGAAUUCCCCGUGAAGAUGCGGGGUUCCUGCGGUUAGACGGAAAGACCCCGUGCACCUUUACUAUAGCUUUACAUUGGCAUUCGUAGUGGCAUGUGUAGGAUAGGUGGUAGGCUUUGAAACCUGGGCGCCAGCUCAGGUGGAGCCACCCUUGAAAUACCACCCUUAUUACUAUGGAUGUCUAACCGCGGCCCGUUAUCCGGGUCCGGGACAAUGUAUGGUGGGUAGUUUGACUGGGGCGGUCGCCUCCUAAAGAGUAACGGAGGCGCGCGAUGGUGGGCUCAGAACGGUCGGAAAUCGUUCGCUGAGUGCAAUGGCAUAAGCCUGCCUGACUGCGAGACUGACAAGUCGAGCAGAGACGAAAGUCGGUCAUAGUGAUCCGGUGGUCCCGCGUGGAAGGGCCAUCGCUCAACGGAUAAAAGGUACGCCGGGGAUAACAGGCUGAUGACCCCCAAGAGUC
rnacentral:rRNA from 1 species